rfam:Ipomoea nil DNA, scaffold: scaffold1014, cultivar: Tokyo-kokei standard.
UCCGUUGUAGUCUAGUUGGUUAGGAUACUCGGCUCUCACCGAGAGACCCGGGUUCAAUUCCGGCAACGGAA